rnacentral:lncRNA from 1 species
GAGACAAACCCUGUGGACACAUCCCAGAAAAUGGGAAACCGAAUCACCCAAGGGAUGGCGAGGGCUGACCAGAGGGAGAGAAAGUUCCAAUCCCCUCCAUACACCAACAGCCCCAUUUGGAAAAGAACGGAUUUAACAGACCUCACCAAGACAAGAGUCAUUUUUCACCAAAGAAAAUCAAAGGAACGAACAAGAGGCAAUGGCUACCGGAGACUCCACCUUCUGGUCUAGGAAGACCCAAGCAGACAGUGGCUUCAUCCAUCAAAGCCCCAAGUGUAUCAAAUAUUUACUGAGGCCACAGACUCUUUCCUACCAGAGCCUUAGACUGUCGUGUGCAUCUGAUUGCCCCAAAGACAGACCACUGGGACCUUCAGUGCAGCAUGCCUUUUAUCAUAAAAAGUCUUAGCCAGAAAAAUAGCCACUCCCAGCUUAAUUCCUAGAGGAAUUCAAACCACUUUGUUAAGAAAAUCCCCAGAGGAGAUUUUAUACUAAGGAGCAUCCCACAAUGCUGCCUGCCAUCUCUAGGUUCUCUAAAAGCAAGCCCAGCCUUGAUGAAAAAAGAGUGCCUGACAUCAGGGGUGUUUGGCUGGAUGGCUGAAGAAAGGAGAACUUUACCCCGAAUCGCAAUGCUCAGAUGUACAGAAGCUCCUGUUUAACUGGAAGAACCUGAUCGGGUGAUCAUCGUCCACAGUCAGUUCCUUCUCUGACUAUCUCCUGAAAUUGCAGAUUGAGUGAGUGCCACCAAUUGUGAGUGUCAAGGAACGGGUCCUUCUCAAUAAAAUGUUUCCCUUGGUCCCACAGGAGGCUCUGGGUACCAAUGGUUUCGACAGUGCAUAGUUAUUUCUUUCUCUAGGCAGCUGCUUUUCCUGAACACUCUGCUCCUGGAGAGUUUGGUCCACAGCAGUAGCUAAAUACGUGUGCAGCGUGUACGUCCUCUCAUGGCCUUCAUCGUUAUUUAUGAACUAACUUCGAAGGGAAGUCAUUUCCAUCCAGAAAACCUGACAUACGCUUUUCCAUACCCACCCAUGCAUAGAGAUAAGAAAACUGUGCUCUUUUACUAUUCUGGCAAGCAGGAGGCAACGUUUUCCAGAUGCCGUUACGGGCAGCCCCGAGCCAUCCCCUGCGUAUCCCAGAAAGCCAAAUGGCCCAAAGCCUCCAUUCCUAAGCCACUCUCCAGUCCCCAAACAUGUCACAAUCUCUCAUACCUCCUGACCUUGGCCCAGGCUGCCUCUUGGUAGAAUGGCCCCACCCCACCCUACCCUCACAGCCCCUUCAACCACAAGACCUGGGUCCAGGUCAAAUGGCCCAGAUCCUCCUCUCUAAAUGCUUCCUUCUAAGAAGGAGCCCCUCCCCCUCUACUGUCCAUCCCCUCCAGUAUUGUGGGGGCUCCCUGAGGGCGAGGACCAGCCCCUAUUCAGUUCAGUGAAUACUGGACUGCAUCACAUGCCCUGGCAUCUGCAGUAGACAGAAGCCAAG